rnacentral:rRNA from 2 species
UGCUAGAAGAUGACGAGUGGCGGACGGGUGAGUAAUGCUUGGGAACUUGCCUUUGCGAGGGGGAUAACAGUUGGAAACGACUGCUAAUACCGCAUAAUGUCUUCGGACCAAACGGGGCUUCGGCUCCGGCGCAAAGAGAGGCCCAAGUGAGAUUAGCUAGUUGGUAAGGUAACGGCUUACCAAGGCGACGAUCUCUAGCUGUUCUGAGAGGAAGAUCAGCCACACUGGGACUGAGACACGGCCCAGACUCCUACGGGAGGCAGCAGUGGGGAAUAUUGCACAAUGGGGGAAACCCUGAUGCAGCCAUGCCGCGUGUGUGAAGAAGGCCUUCGGGUUGUAAAGCACUUUCAGUUGUGAGGAAAAGUUAGUAGUUAAUACCUGCUAGCCGUGACGUUAACAACAGAAGAAGCACCGGCUAACUCCGUGCCAGCAGCCGCGGUAAUACGGAGGGUGCGAGCGUUAAUCGGAAUUACUGGGCGUAAAGCGCACGCAGGCGGUUUGUUAAGCUAGAUGUGAAAGCCCCGGGCUCAACCUGGGAUGGUCAUUUAGAACUGGCAGACUAGAGUCUUGGAGAGGGGAGUGGAAUUCCAGGUGUAGCGGUGAAAUGCGUAGAUAUCUGGAGGAACAUCAGUGGCGAAGGCGACUCCCUGGCCAAAGACUGACGCUCAUGUGCGAAAGUGUGGGUAGCGAACAGGAUUAGAUACCCUGGUAGUCCACACCGUAAACGCUGUCUACUAGCUGUGUGUGCCUUUAAGGCGUGCGUAGCGAAGCUAACGCGCUAAGUAGACCGCCUGGGGAGUACGGCCGCAAGGUUAAAACUCAAAUGAAUUGACGGGGGCCCGCACAAGCGGUGGAGCAUGUGGUUUAAUUCGAUGCAACGCGAAGAACCUUAC